GACAUAGGUGGCGAACGUUAUCCGGAAUUAUUGGGCGUAAAGGGCUCGUAGGCGGCCAACUAAGUCGGAUGUGAAAUCCCCAGGCUUAACCUGGGAACUGCAUCCGAUACUGGAUGGCUUGAAUCCGGGAGAGGGAUGCAGAAUUCCAGGUGUAGCGGUGAAAUGCGUAGAUAUCUGGAGGAAUACCGGUGGCGAAGGCGGCAUCCUGGACCGGCAUUGACGCUGAGUGAGCGAAAGCCAGGGGAGCAAACGGG
rnacentral:rRNA from 1 species